UUUAAUAUACAUAUAAUGCAAAAAAUACUGAAUACCGAAAUGUAUAAUUGGUUUAUUGAUAUAUUAAGUGCUGUCCAAAAAAAUCUUUGAGAUCUACGUUUUCCUACAUACAGACAUGUCUGAUCAAGAAUAUAUAAAAAUUAUUAGUGGGAGACGCCUCUUUCUGCCUGUUACCAUCAUUUAUGUCGACACGAAGUUAUAAAAUCUUUUUACCCUAAGGGUAGCGGUCUUUUUUGCUCUCUCGCCAUGUUGCAUGAUCUGUCACAAUGGUGAACAUAUAAUGCUUGGCCAUCAAUUCAAUGCCAAAAUCUCGAGUUGCGUGAAAGUGAAAUGCUGAUCUCGUUAUCUUCCCAUUUUGGCCAUCAACAAAAUUUAACACGUCUUCUGUAAGCAUUUCAUUUGAAAUGUGUUUGGCGUUAUGGCAACACUUAUUUAACUGCCAAUUGUUGUGUGUGGCGUGCGAAGAGAGUAGCAAUAAAAGCAGCAGCGAAAAGAAAAAAAAAACCAACUUUGGCAGGUGUUUUCAGCGCAAUCAAGGCAACUGUGUGAGAUAAUCUCUGCUCAUUAUUUGCAACCGACAACGAGAAGAAGAACAGCAACAACAGCAACAGCAGCCAGAUUUGCUGUUAAUAAGUGGGUGGCGUGAGAAAGAAUAUUGCUUGGAAUUUCAUGAUUAUGUUGGCCUGGCUUUGAGACUGAGUCGGAGUCUGAGCCUUUGCCUUUGCCUUCGCCAUCGCCUGGGCUCUCUCGCUCGUUACAUAAUUAAUUAUGGGGGUGCGUUCCAUGCAAAACAAGUGCACCGCCUGCCGCGCUCACACAUAAAUUAUGAAAGCCAAACAACAGCAUUGAGUACCGUUAAGUUAAUAACUGCCUUUAAAAGCUGCACUGAAAACACAAAAAAAAAACCAAAAACAAAAAAACUAAAAAUAAACUAGAAAGAAAAACCUUACAAAAAAAAAAAAAAUAGGGAGAAAAAGUGCGGGCAGCGACGCAAGUAAACUCAGCUGGCACUUCAGCCCGGUUCAUUACGGCAACGCUCACUUCCACUUGCAAUUAGUUCUAUGAAUGAAUUUAUGCUAAUUAUAGGCUGCCAGACAAACAACAGGCAACAAACGGCGUCCCAUCGACCGACACGCUUUUAAUAAGCCACUGGCAACUUUGUAGUUUUUUUUAUUUUACCCAUAUUUUUUUUUGGACAACGUAAAAGUUUUUCAUUGUUGAGAGCGGCAUUGGCAAUGGCAUCACCUGCUAACCCACAAAAAUAUAAUGAGCCAUUGACCGAACUAGAAGAAUAAACGAGACGAAUGAACGAAACGAACGAAGCGAAAGAACGGUACAUAUGCGUGUGUGUGUUGCUGUGUGUGUGGCAAUGCGGUUAGAAUCGAAUCUUGCGGUUACGAACGCUUCAGAGCUGGAGGCCGCCUGCAUUUUCCAUAAUUUCCAUGCGAGUGAGCAUAUCAAAGAGACCAAAACCAAAACCAAAACGAAAAACCAAGACCAAAAAAAAAAAAAAACAUUUUAAUUAACAUAUAUGUCUAUCAAUUUCACUAAUUGAACGUUAACAAGCCAGCUCGCUCGCCUAGGGAGCCGCCAGCCUGUGAGCAACGGAUUCUGAUUAGAACGCAUCUAUCAAUCAUGUUAACUAAUCUCUCUUCCACGCUCUCUUAUGCCUGUAAGCUAACAAACAUUUCUGGUUAUUAGGUGAGAUAUUAAAGAAGUGUUCUGUGGAAAUGCAAAGGCUUCAAGUGAAGGGAUUAGAUCUGAAGUUAGAGUGCUUCUAAUAUGAAUACGAAUCCGAAUGUCUAUUGGCCUCGUCAAUCAUUUAAUUUGCAUUGACUGAGCAUUUGAUUUAGGCCUUUGAAUUGUUUUGGCUAAUGGAUUUGGGUGGUAUGACCAUUAACCCAUUUGUCUGCCAAUAAAUGCAAAUGCGCGUUUGCUAAUUGGCAAUGGCAACGGAAAUUCAAUUAGAAAUCAGGUUCAUUUCGUUUAG